CCUACGGGCGGCAGCAGUGAGGAAUAUUGGUCAAUGGACGCAAGUCUGAACCAGCCAUGCCGCGUGCAGGAUGACGGCUCUAUGAGUUGUAAACUGCUUUUGUACGAGGGUAAACCCGAAUACGUGUAUCGAGUUGAAAGUACUGUACGAAUAAGGAUCGGCUAACUCCGUGCCAGCAGCCGCGGUAAUACGGAGGAUCCGAGCGUUAUCCGGAUUUAUUGGGUUUAAAGGGUGCGUAGGCGGUUUGAUAAGUUAGAGGUGAAAUGUCGGGGCUCAACCCCGAAACUGCCUCUAAUACUGUUGGUCUAGAGAAUAGAUGCGGUAGGCGGAAUGUAUGGUGUAGCGGUGAAAUGCUUAGAGAUCAUACAGAACACCGAUUGCGAAGGCAGCUUACCAAUCUAUAUCUGACGUUGAGGCACGAAAGCGUGGGUAGCAAACAGGAUUAGAUACCCCAGUAGUC
rnacentral:rRNA from 1 species